rnacentral:rRNA from 1 species
AUGAACGCUGGCGGCGUGCCUAAUACAUGCAAGUCGAGCGAACAGAUGAGGAGCUUGCUCCUCUGACGUUAGCGGCGGACGGGUGAGUAACACGUGGAUAACCUACCUAUAAGACUGGGAUAACUUCGGGAAACCGGAGCUAAUACCGGAUAAUAUAUUGAACCGCAUGGUUCAAUAGUGAAAGACGGUUUUGCUGUCACUUAUAGAUGGAUCCGCGCCGCAUUAGCUAGUUGGUAAGGUAACGGCUUACCAAGGCAACGAUGCGUAGCCGACCUGAGAGGUGGAGCGGCCAAACGAGAACUGAGACACGGACAAGAAGCCUACGGGAGGCAGAAGGAGGGAAUCUGGGACAAGGGUCGAAAGCCUGACGAAGUCACGCCGCGGGAGAGAAGAAGUUUUUCGGAUCUUAAACCUCUCUUAUUGGGGAAGAAAAAAUGUGUAAGGAAAAAUGCACGGCUGGACGGUACCUAAUCAGAAAGCCACGGCUAACUACGUG